rnacentral:rRNA from 1 species
GAAGUAUUGGACAAUGGGCGAAAGCCUGAUCCAGCAAUGCCGCGUGGGUGAAGAAGGUCUUCGGAUUGUAAAGCCCUUUCGGCGGGGACGAUGAUGACGGUACCCGCAGAAGAAGCCCCGGCUAACUUCGUGCCAGCAGCCGCGGUAAUACGAAGGGGGCUAGCGUUGCUCGGAAUGACUGGGCGUAAAGGGCGCGUAGGCGGCCGCAUUUGUCAGGCGUGAAAGUCCUGGGCUCAACCCGGGGACGGCGCUUGGGACGGUGUGGCUUGAGUGGGGAAGAGGGUCGUGGAAUUCCCAGUGUAGAGGUGAAAUUCGUAGAUAUUGGGAAGAACACCGGUGGCGAAGGCGGCGACCUGGUCCUUGACUGACGCUGAGGCGCGAGAGCGUGGGGAGCAAACAGGAUUAGAUACCCUGGUAGUCCACGCUGUAAACGAUGUGCGCUGGAUGUUGGGGGGCUCAGCCCCGCAGUGUCGUAGCUAACGCGAUAAGCGCACCGCC